UAUUGCACAAUGGGCGCAAGCCUGAUGCAGCCAUGCCGCGUGUAUGAAGAAGGCCCUAGGGUUGUAAAGUACUUUCAGUCGGGAGGAAGGCGUUGAUGCUAAUAUCAUCAACGAUUGACGUUACCGACAGAAGAAGCACCGGCUAACUCCGUGCCAGCAGCCGCGGUAAUACGGAGGGUGCAAGCGUUAAUCGGAAUUACUGGGCGUAAAGCGCACGCAGGCGGUUGAUUAAGUUAGAUGUGAAAUCCCCGGGCUUAACCUGGGAAUGGCAUCUAAGACUGGUCAGCUAGAGUCUUGUAGAGGGGGGUAGAAUUCCAUGUGUAGCGGUGAAAUGCGUAGAGAUGUGGAGGAAUACCGGUGGCGAAGGCGGCCCCCUGGACCAAGACUGACGCUCAGGUGCGAAAGCGUGGGGAGCAAACAGG
rnacentral:rRNA from 1 species